rnacentral:rRNA from 1 species
GACAGAGGGUGCAAACGUUGUUCGGAAUUACUGGGCGUAAAGCGUGUGUAGGCGGUCCGAUAAGUCGGGUGUGAAAGCCCUGGGCUCAACCCAGGAAGUGCACUCGAAACUGCCGGGCUAGAGUAUCGGAGAGGUUGGUGGAAUUCUCGGUGUAGAGGUGAAAUUCGUAGAUAUCGAGAGGAACACCGGCGGCGAAGGCGGCUCACUGGCCCGAUACUGACGCUGAGGUGCGAAAGCGUGGGGAGCGAACAGG